rnacentral:tRNA from 1 species
UUAUAAGUAAGUUAUCUUAAACUAAUAGGCUCAUACCCUAUCUAUAGAAUUAAUAUUCUCUUAUAAA